ACUACUACAUAUGUAAAAAGAGAGGUGUAAAUUAUUUUGUGGUUUAAAGGAUGCUGCAUGUAAAUUGUUACCCUUUAAAUUUUGGAUGUCAAAUAUAUUUAGAAGUUUGAUUGUAGGUACUUCAGAAGCCUACCUCGUUCACCUCUUGGUUACAUUCCACCGAGUGUUUACUAAUUAUUGUCCUUUUUAUAAAUUUUCUUCUUAAAAAUCUUAUUAUGGUAAGGAUAAUGUAUUUGUUCCCUUCAGGUGUCUGCCACUGCAGUUGAUGUUGAGACAACUCUCAGUCUUCCUGCAAGUCCUCGCCUGAUACCUGUUUUAAGGGCAUCACACCAACAUUUGCAAUUGGACUUGCUGCUAUGUUUGCAACCUACUACAUUUUCAGCCUUCAGUAUCAAGAUGAGACAGCCUGCCCUGUGGAAUUCAAAAUUAAUGUGUUUGCGCUUCAUUGAUAUAAAUCCAGAGAGAGGGACAAAUGCCAAAAUCAUCAAGCAAGGUUGUCUCUAAGAAGAAAGGUGUGAUGGUCCAGAAGUCGUCUUCUGCAGUCAAAUACACAUGUGGUCAUGCUACUGAAGAAUCUCCUUGACUUUUUAAUGGAACUUCAUAUAGAUCUUGGCAGCACUGGAAUAAUGCUGCAGAGAGGAACAGCGGCUAUCAAAGUGAUGAUCGUCUCUUCAUCCACAAGAACUAAGAUGUAAAAACACAAACCUACCUCACAGGACAAUUUUAAGAGGUAACCUGCAAGUCUAGCUUGCAGUGGCACAGGUGCCUACCCUACGGUUUCAUCCUAAAUGUUUUUAUGCAUGUUAUUGAUACAUCCUGACAAAAUGUUCUACUGUACUAUAAUAGUUUCAAAAUGGCCUUAGGUAUGUUUUCAAACUUAUGUCUUAAAUAAAAAAGUAAACUAUAGGUUAUGCCCUUCACAUUUGGUAAGGAUUAGGGGCAGUCUCUGACGAGCAAUUUAAGAAUGUUAAGUUUAUUGCCAUAGUCUAAAGCAGGAGUGGGGAA